AUUAGGUGUUCAGGUUGGAGUGGAGUCUUCUUCAUCUGUCUGGACUGGUUAAAUAAACUGUGAAGGUAGAAAGUGUGUGUGAGUUGAUGUGAAUCCAGCAGAAUGGAUCAGUGGAACAGGAAGGAGCGAGUCCCUCCCUCUAAAACCAAUGUGACAAAGUUACGUGAGAUGUUCGAGAAGAAGUGCAAGGAUCAGGGGUGAGAUGAAGAACUCUGUGUGUGUUGAAAGCAACUUUUUGCAGCAUUCAUAUUGCAAAUAAACUUAAUGUCUUCCCGGCUUCUAGUUUUCCACAUUUCACACAUCUUAAAACUCGACUGUCUCACACACAGCUUCUGUGGCUGUGGACUAAAAGUGACUUUCUCUCUAAAACUUAAACUGAAACCUAAACCUGAUCUCUGCUGUGUGUCUAUGAAGAGUGACCAGUGCAUGGUUCAACCAAUAACAUUUGACUCUAGUAGGUAAGUUGUGACUUAGUUUUGCGAUCUGUCUCGCAGAUGAAGCUUUUUGUAAGUAUUGUGUAGCCUGUCACAGUGAUGACAAAUCUUUACUUGAUGAGAAUUUAAUUAUUAAGAAAUGUCUGUGUUCUGAAACAUUCUGCUGUUUGGUCUCCUCUUUGUCUGUCAGGAUCCAUCAGACACAGGACUGUCCUGAACCUAAAACUAAGCUCAAAUUCAAACCUGAACCCAGCAGUGUGUCUGUGAAAAGUGAUGGAUCCAUGGAUCGUCCAACAAGAUUUGAAUCCAGAAGAGUGGAGCACCAGAGUUUAGAUGUUGACAGUGGUCAGUCUGUUCAUCAGCAUCAAACACAGCUAGACUCCAUGUUUAAGCUGCUGGAGGACAACAUUGUGACUUUUGUGAAGAAG